rnacentral:rRNA from 1 species
GCUUGCUCUUGAUGACGAGUGGCGCACGGGUGAGUAACGCGUAUGCAAUCUACCUAUAACUGAGGAAUAGCCCAGAGAAAUUUGGAUUAAUACUUCAUAAUAUUAUUAUUUGGCAUCAUUUAAUAAUUAAAACUCCGGUGGUUAUAGAUGAGCAUGCGUUCUAUUAGCUAGUUGGUGAGGUAAGAGCUCACCAAGGCUACGAUAGAUAGGGGGCCUGAAAGGGUGAUCCCCCACACUGGUACUGAGACACGGACCAGACUCCUACGGGAGGCAGCAGUGAGGAAUAUUGCACAAUGGAGGAAACUCUGAUGCAGCCAUGCCGCGUGCAGGAUGAAGGCCCUAUGGGUUGUAAACUGCUUUUUACAAGAAGAAACCUUGGUACGUGUACCAACUUGACGGUAUUGUAAGAAUAAGCACCGGCUAACUCCGUGCCAGCAGCCGCGGUAAUACGGAGGGUGCAAGCGUUAUCCGGAUUUAUUAGGUUUAAAGGGUUCGCAGGCGGAAUUUUAAGUCAGUGGUGAAAGCCUACAGCUCA